UUGUCCUACGGGAGGCAGCAGUGAGGAAUAUUGGUCAAUGGGCGGGAGCCUGAACCAGCCAUGCCGCGCGAAGGCGAGUGCCCUACGGGCGUUAAACUUCUUUUGUGCGGGAGCAAUAAGGGCCACGUGUGGCCCGAUGAGAGUACCGCACGAAUAAGCAUCGGCUAACGCCGUGCCAGCAGCCGCGGUAAAACGCAGGGGGCAAGCGUUAUACGGAGUUACUGGGUGAAAAGGGAGCGUAGACGGCCAGACAAGUCUGAAGUGAAAAGCCAGCGGUUAAAGUUGGAA
rnacentral:rRNA from 1 species